UUAAUCUAGAAGGUGGGAAUUGAGAACAAGAUCAUGCUUUAUCAGCUAACACGAGCUUGUGGCCUAUGGGAAAAAGGAAGGCGGACAUCCAGUCGAGGGGGGUUGCAGUGAUUACAGAGUUCACAAGCACCAGUCGGACUGCCAUUGUUAGUAGCUAUGCUUCCAUCCAGCUAGCUUCCUUUCAUUUUUUUUCAAUGAUGAAGCUCCAGUCAAGGUUUCUGUUUGAGCUCCAUUGAUGCCCAGGCCGAUGACUUUCGAUUUCUCAAAAUUGAUUUUUAGACCAGAUAGCAUUUCGUAGGCAUACAGGAUGAAUUUGAGGUUCGCUGAGCAUUUGCUCGAUCAUUCACAGAAGGCCAGCUUGUCGUCCGCGAAUUGCAAGCAUUGGAACUGGCCUGUUACGUCCAGGGGGCCAAUUCCAGUUAGGAAAAGCAACCAUUUCUUUAUUUUUAUGGAUAAAUAAUCAUGUUCAAGAGGUGAUUUGUCCUAUCCUUGGAAGCUAGAGAUUAACUGCUUAUCCGACCGCCCUAUCUUCGUUCACUUCCACCAUAUUUUCUCAAGAAUGUCUCUUGUCGGAGCGUCUU
rnacentral:lncRNA from 1 species